GCGCCUACGACCCUCCCGAACGACACGCCGCUGACGAUCUCGUUCGAUCUCGUUGUCGCCUCCGAACGCCCAACCCCAUGAAUCGCGUUAGAUCUCAAUCUCGUUGUCGCCUACGCCGACGACCGCCAUGACACCGCUGAAAAUUCCCCCCGAUAUUGAGUUGGAAACCGUGAACGAGGCUUAGCUGGAAUCGGAUCUGUGAUAAGGGGGAGCUUGAUGUCGUCGAGGCGUCGAAGUUGAAGGGCGCGGAGGCUCGCCGAUGGUUUGCGAGGCAGCUUAUGUUGCCGGAGUGGAUGAUUGAUGUUCCUCCUAACCUUGAUUCUGAUUGGUUGUGUUGGAGUUGCAAGAUGACGGGAAAUUGGCUACCUCAGAUUAUCCUCCUGUAGUGCUCGGUUGCACCGAUGCUAGAAAUGGUGAGUAACUACCACUGUGUUUCAUUUAUGAAACAGCCCAAAAGUAUAGAAGUAAAUGUCACACGUUACACGUUACAAGAUUCUUAAUGGCCGAGAAAAUGAUGAAAACUUGUUCGAGUAUAUCUGUUCUCCUAAGACCGCCACUAUCAAUUUCACAGAUGUCAAAUAAGGCACGGUGGUCAGUUAUGCAAUCGUACAAUCGCCUCAAGUAUCACAAGCGCGCGCACAGAGCUGCAGUUAAAGCUUUGGAGAGCAGACACAGCCUUGGCGUUGUCAUCAGAAGGAUAGAAGAAGCCAUGUCCUCCCAUAGCUGACAGCAUAAAUUUCAAGUUAUUUCAAAAGGAUGAAGGGAGUUGGAGCAAUAGCUGCAAAUUGUCUUGGUUCAGGCCUGAUCCAAAUAAGAUGUAAACCCAAGUCGGUAAAAUUGACAGUGAUCGAAUUGGGUUUAUCAGGUCGUCCUAUAUCUUAUGCGGUUACUGUGAUAAUCGUGCAGGAAUUUGACAACAUGUUGACAUUCUUUUUCCGUUCAUGCCAAUGAAUAAGGCAUCAACUCUGCUUGGUACAAGAGUUUUCAGGUUCGAACGGAGCAUGAAAGCAAAGGCCUUUUGUUUUGCCAAGGAAAAUAUGUUUUCUCGAGUCCUAGUGCAGACAAUAGCGAGAAAAAUGAGACUGUAUAUAGAAUGAUGUACAGGGUUCACAAGUUAAAGUUGAGUAGAAACUCCGAUGACGGGUUUCAUGUUGCUGUAUAUAUUUUCACAAUUCAAGUACUUAUGUAUUCACUUUGUAUAUGCUUAAUAGAAUCAUCUGAUAAGACUUUGCUAUUCUUUUUUCA